GGAGUAUGUGGUUAAUUUGACUCAACGCGGAAAAGCUUAUCUGGUCCGGACGCAGUGAGGAUUGACAGACAGUUUCAGGAGUGGUUCUUGGUAAACAAUUGAGAGAGUUGAAGUUCUUUCAUGAUCUUGUGAGAGGUGGUGCAUGGCCGUUCUUAGUUCGUGUAGUGAUAUGUCUGCCUAAUCGCGUCACGAUAACCUAUUGGUCGACAACCCAAUUAUCACAACUGCAGCAUAACUCCCCUUGGGUGGGCGAGGCUCUGUGUAGGAUAGACCUCUGAACAGUACGCAACGAACGCGAUCGUAAUCCCUUGUUGAGUGGCCAUCCUGUAAGCUGCUGGAUUAGGAACCCAGUGGUAUUAUCUCAGCCACAGAUUUUCUGGUUGUAAUGGGCCAGUUUUGAAACUCGGGGAACAUCUGUGACUUUCUUUCUUAACGCAGAGGAAGGUUAUGGCAAUAACAGG
rnacentral:rRNA from 1 species